rnacentral:rRNA from 1 species
GACGAACGCUGGCGGCGUGCCUAAUACAUGCAAGUCGAGCGCAGGGAACUGACGGAACUCUUCGGAGGGAAGGCAGCGGAAUGAGCGGCGGACGGGUGAGUAACACGUAAGGAACCUGCCUCAAGGAUUGGGAUAACUCCGAGAAAUCGGAGCUAGUACCGGAUAGUUCAUCGGACCGCAUGGUCCGCUGAUGAAAGGCGCUCCGGCGUCACCUUGAGAUGGCCUUGCGGUGCAUUAGCUAGUUGGUGGGGCAACGGCCCACCAAGGCGACGAUGCAUAGCCGACCUGAGAGGGUGAUCGGCCACACUGGGACUGAGACACGGCCCAGACUCCUACGGGAGGCAGCAGUAGGGAAUCUUCCACAAUGGACGAAAGUCUGAUGGAGCAACGCCGCGUGAGUGAUGAAGGUUUUCGGAUCGUAAAACUCUGUUGUAAGGGAAGAACACGUACGAGAGGGAAUGCUCGUACCUUGACGGUACCUUACGAGGAAGCCACGGCUAACUACGUGCCAGCCGCCGCGGUAA